UACGUAGGGUGCGAGCGUUGUCCGGAAUUAUUGGGCGUAACGAGCUCGUAGGCGGUUUGUUGCGUCGGCCGUGAAAACUCAGGGCUUAACUCUGAGCCUGCGGUCGAUACGGGCAGACUUGAGUUCGGUAGGGGAGACUGGAAUUCCCGGUGUAGAGGUGAAAUUCGUAGAUAUCGGGAGGAACACCAGUGGCGAAGGCGGCGAUCUGGGAAGAUACUGACGCUGAGGUGCGAAAGCGUGGGGAGCAAACAGG
rnacentral:rRNA from 1 species